UACGUAGGCAGCGAGCGUUGUUCGGAGUUACUGGGCGUAAAGCGCGCGCAGGCGGUUUUCCAAGUCAGUGGUGAAAGCCCGGAGCUCAACUCCGGAAAUGCCAUUGAAACUGCAAAACUUGAGUACGAGAGAGGUGAGUGGAAUUCCCAGUGUAGAGGUGAAAUUCGUAGAUAUUGGGAAGAACACCGGUGGCGAAGGCGGCUCACUGGCUCGUAACUGACGCUCAGGCGCGAUAGCGUGGGGAUCAAACAGG
rnacentral:rRNA from 1 species